rnacentral:lncRNA from 1 species
GAUUUUGUAUCUUUUUAUUCAAUUCUGUUCUAUUUUCUUUUGUUGUAUUUUUUCUUUCAUGUUCCAUUAUAUUUAAUUCCAUUCAAUUUUGUUCUAGUCUAUGCUAUCUUAUGUUGUAAUAGAAUUUAUAUUGCUAUCGAUUGGAAGAGUCUUAGAUCUUAAAAAUAGUCUAGUUCCCAUUUCAAUUGGCUUUACAAUGCUUGUAUUAAAAAAUUAUAUUAGAUGAAAAAGGUACUUAUUACUUAUAGGCAAGAAGGAUGAAUUUUCAUUAAUAGUAACAUGAUGUGUAAUG